ensembl:Mt_rRNA
AACCAAAACUAGCCCAACUUACCCACAACACAAUUACCAUAAUACCAUAAAUCAAAACAUUUAAUCACAUUAUUACAGUAUAGGUGAUAGAAAUUCUACUUGGAGCUAUAGAGAAAGUACCGCAAGGGAAUGAUGAAAGAAAUAUUUAAAGUAAAAAACAGCAAAGAUUACCCCUUAUACCUUUUGCAUAAUGAAUUAGCUAGAACAAUUUAGCAAAGAGACCUUAAGCUAAAUACCCCGAAACCAGACGAGCUACCUGUGAACAAUCCACAGGGGUGCACUCAUCUAUGUUGCAAAAUAGUGAGAAGAUUUACAGGUAGAGGUGAAAAGCCUAACGAGCCUGGUGAUAGCUGGUUGCCCAGAACAGAAUCUCAGUUCAACUUUAAAUUUACCCAAUAAACAUCAAAUUGUAAUGUAAAUUUAAAAUAUAGUCUAAAAAGGUACAGCUUUUUAGAACAAGGAUACAACCUUGCUUAGAGAGUAAAAUCAAAUAAAACCAUAGUAGGCCUAAGAGCAGCCACCAAUUAAGAAAGCGUUCAAGCUCAACAAUAUACCCCCCUUAAUCCCCACAAUCCAAAAUAACUCCUAAUAUACUACUGGGCUAAUCUAUUUAAUAAUAGAAGCAAUAAUGCUAAUAUGAGUAACAAGAAAUACUUCUCCUUGCAUAAGCUUAUACCUGCUAACGAAUGCUCACUGAUAGUUAACAACACGAUAAAAUAAACCACUAAUAAACACACCUAUCAAACCAAUUGUUAAUCCAACACAGGCAUGCAGUAAGGAAAGAUUAAAAGAAGUAAAAGGAACUCGGCAAACUCAAACCCCGCCUGUUUACCAAAAACAUCACCUCCAGCAUAUCUAGUAUUGGAGGCACUGCCUGCCCAGUGACAUUAGUUUAACGGCCGCGGUAUCCUGACCGUGCAAAGGUAGCAUAAUCAUUUGUUCUCUAAAUAGGGACUUGUAUGAAUGGCCACACGAGGGUUUAACUGUCUCUUACUUCCAAUCAGUGAAAUUGACCUUUCCGUGAAGAGGCGGGAAUACACAAAUAAGACGAGAAGACCCUAUGGAGCUUUAAUUAACUAACCCAUAAUAAUUUAUAAACUCACCUACCAGGUCUAACACAACAUUAUUACUGGGUUAACAAUUUAGGUUGGGGUGACCUCGGAGAAUAAAACAACCUCCGAGUGAUUAAAUCACAGACAAACCAGUCGAAGCAUUUUAUCAUUUAUUGAUCCAAUAUCUUGAUCAACGGAACAAGUUACCCUAGGGAUAACAGCGCAAUCCUAUUUGAGAGUCCAUAUCAACAAUAGGGUUUACGACCUCGAUGUUGGAUCAGGACAUCCUAAUGGUGCAGCAGCUAUUAAGGGUUCGUUUGUUCAACGAUUAAAGUCCUACGUGAUCUGAGUUCAGACCGGAGUAAUCCAGGUCGGUUUCUAUCUAUUAUAACAACUUCUCCCAGUACGAAAGGACAAGAGAAGUAAGGCCAAUUCUACCGGAAAGCCUUAGGACUAAUAGAUGAUAUAAUCUUAAUCUAACCAGUCCACUCCCCAUAUGACCCUAGAAAUAGGGUUU